CGAAGAAGAUAACUUCUCGAAAAGAUAAAAAAAAUACUGAUAGAGCUUGCAUGUAUAUCCAAAGGUUAAAAAUGAUCAAAGGAGUUAAUGUAAGGACCAAAAAAUUAGAAACACCAGAUUCUCUAUACUUCCGAUAGCAUAGUAGUUCCACUCAGUAAAUAUUACUGGUGUUAAAUAAAGGUAUAAAAAACAUCCAGGCAAAUUAGGUCUUGAUUACUCAAAAGUUUGAUACGAGAGAAAAUGAUCUAAAAAUAAUCUUAAUAUUGCCGAGACUGUCCCUAACGUAAGUGACAAAGGGCUUGGUGAUUGGUAAUUUGGUACUUGAGAUUUUCAAGUUUGAAUCCAAGUUGAUUUAUAUUUCUAGCUAAGUUUAUUUUUUUAAAAAAAUAAAUAAAGCGGGUAGUAUACUACCUUUUUCUUUCUCAAAAAAAUAUUGCCGAGACCAAUUAAGCAAUCAACCAU
rnacentral:lncRNA from 1 species